rnacentral:rRNA from 1 species
GUUGGGGUGGCUCGAGUGGCGAACGGGUGAGUAACACGUGAGUAACCUGCCCUUGACUUUGGGGUAACUUCAGGAAACUGGGGCUAAUACCGGAUAGGAGCUCCUGCUGCAUGGUGGGGGUUGGAAAGUUUCGGCGGUUGGGGAUGGACUCGCGGCUUAUCAGCUUGUUGGUGGGGUAGUGGCUUACCAAGGCUUUGACGGGUAGCCGGCCUGAGAGGGUGACCGGCCACAUUGGGACUGAGAUACGGCCCAG